UGGGGAAUAUUGGACAAUGGGCGAACGCCUGAUCCAGCCAUGCCGCGUGUGUGAAGAAGGUCUUCGGAUUGUAAAGCACUUUAAGUUGGGAGGAAGGGCAGUAAGCGAAUACCUUGCUGUUUUGACGUUACCGACAGAAUAAGCACCGGCUAACUCUGUGCCAGCAGCCGCGGUAAUACAGAGGGUGCAAGCGUUAAUCGGAAUUACUGGGCGUAAAGCGCGCGUAGGUGGUUCGUUAAGUUGAAUGUGAAAGCCCCGGGCUCAACCUGGGAACUGCAUCCAAAACUGGCGAGCUAGAGUAGGGCAGAGGGUGGUGGAAUUUCCUGUGUAGCGGUGAAAUGCGUAGAUAUAGGAAGGAACACCAGUGGCGAAGGCGACCACCUGGGAUCAUACUGACACUGAGGUGCGAAAGCGUGGGGAGCAAACAGG
rnacentral:rRNA from 1 species